rnacentral:sRNA from 1 species
AAACAGUUUUGUUAGUGUUUUUAUGGUCAAAAUGUGUCACAAUCCAAUGCAUUUGACUAAUUAUAAGAGUUAGGGAUGGAUUAGAGUGUUUAGACAACACGUAUACCCAUUUUCUCCCAAAAGAGGCUAAAACCAACAAAAAAUUGCUUAUAAGUACUAAACAGUUUUGUUAGUGUUUUUAUGGUCAAAAUGUGUAAGAAUCCAAUGCAUUUGACUAAUUAUAAGAGUUAGAGAUGGAUUAGGAGUGUUUAGACAACACUUAUACCCAUUUUCUCCCAAAAGAGGCUAAAACCAACAAAACAUUGCUUAGAAGCAGUAAAUAGCUUUGUUAGUGUUUUUAUGGUCAAAAUGUGUCACAAUCCAAAGCAUUUGACUAAUUAUAAGAGUUAGAGAUGGAUUAAGAGUGUUUAGACAACACUUAUACCCAUUUUCAACU